rnacentral:rRNA from 1 species
GUACAGUUUAAAACCCUUAACGAGGAUCUAUUGGAGGGCAAGUCUGGUGCCAGCAGCCGCGGUAAUUCCAGCUCCAAUAGCGUAUAUUAAAGUUGUUGCAGUUAAAAAGCUCGUAGUUGGAUCUCGGGUACUAGCAUGUGGUACGCUUAAUUGCUGUUACUGCUUGUCUAGUCCUAAUCAAUCGGUUGGCCGUUUAUGCCCUUUAUUGGGUGUUUUCGGUAGCCGGUACGUUUACUUUGAGAAAAUUAGAGUGCUUAAAGCAGGCUUUACGCCUGAAUAAUGUUGCAUGGAAUAAUAGAAUAGGACCUCGGUUCUAUUUUGUUGGUUUUGUAGAGCAUUGAGGUAAUGAUUAAUAGGGACAGACGGGGGCAUUCGUAUUGCGGUGUUAGAGGUGAAAUUCUUGGAUCGCCGCAAGACGAACAACUGCGAAAGCAUUUGCCAAGAAUGUUUUCAUUAAUCAAGAACGAAAGUUGGAGGUUCGAAGACGAUUAGAUACCGUCCUAGUCCCAACCAUAAACGAUGCCAACUAGCGAUUAGCCGCUGUUAAUUAAACGACACGGCUAGCAGCUUCCGGUAAACCAAAGUUUUUGGGUUCCGGGGGAAGUAUGGUUGCAAAGCUGAAACUUAAAGGAAUUGACGGAAGGGCACCACCAGGAGUGGAGCCUGCGGCUUAAUUUGACCCAACACGGGAAACCUCAUCCGGCCCGGACACUGUAAGGAUUGACAGAUUGGGAGCUCUUUCUUGAUUCGGUGGGUGGUGGUGCAUGGCCGUUCUUAGUUGGUGGAGCGAUUUGUCUGGUUAAUUCCGAUAACGAACGAGACUCUAGCCUGCUAAAUAGUACGCCGAUCUUUAGUCGGCGCGUACUUCUUAGAGGGACAAGUGGCGGAUAGCCACACGAAAUUGAGCAAUAACAGGUCUGUGAUGCCCUUAGAUGUUCGGAGCCGCACGCGCGCUACACUGAAGGGAUAAGCGUGUUCUUCCUGCUCCGAUAGGAGUGGGUAACCCGCUGAAACCCCUUCGUGAUUGGGAUCGGGGCUUGCAAUUAUUCUCCGUGAACGAGGAAUUCCUAGUAAGCGCGAGUCAUAAGCUCGCGUUGAUUACGUCCCUGCCCUUUGUACACACCGCCCGUCGCUACUACCGAUUGAAUGGUUUAGUGAGAUCUUCGGAUUAGUCCGGAAGUGGCCGCAAGGUUGCCUCUAGGUUCUGAGAAGAUGAUCAAACUUGA